rnacentral:rRNA from 2 species
CUGUGAGCUCGAUGAGUAGGGCGGGACACGUGGUAUCCUGUCUGAAUAUGGGGGGACCAUCCUCCAAGGCUAAAUACUCCUGACUGACCGAUAGUGAACCAGUACCGUGAGGGAAAGGCGAAAAGAACCCCGGCGAGGGGAGUGAAAAAGAACCUGAAACCGUGUACGUACAAGCAGUGGGAGCACGCUUAGGCGUGUGACUGCGUACCUUUUGUAUAAUGGGUCAGCGACUUAUAUUCUGUAGCAAGGUUAACCGAAUAGGGGAGCCGAAGGGAAACCGAGUCUUAACUGGGCGUUAAGUUGCAGGGUAUAGACCCGAAACCCGGUGAUCUAGCCAUGGGCAGGUUGAAGGUUGGGUAACACUAACUGGAGGACCGAACCGACUAAUGUUGAAAAAUUAGCGGAUGACUUGUGGCUGGGGGUGAAAGGCCAAUCAAACCGGGAGAUAGCUGGUUCUCCCCGAAAGCUAUUUAGGUAGCGCCUCGUGAAUUCAUCUCCGGGGGUAGAGCACUGUUUCGGCAAGGGGGUCAUCCCGACUUACCAACCCGAUGCAAACUGCGAAUACCGGAGAAUGUUAUCACGGGAGACACACGGCGGGUGCUAACGUCCGUCGUGAAGAGGGAAACAACCCAGACCGCCAGCUAAGGUCCCAAAGUCAUGGUUAAGUGGGAAACGAUGUGGGAAGGCCCAGACAGCCAGGAUGUUGGCUUAGAAGCAGCCAUCAUUUAAAGAAAGCGUAAUAGCUCACUGGUCGAGUCGGCCUGCGCGGAAGAUGUAACGGGGCUAAACCAUGCACCGAAGCUGCGGCAGCGACGCUUAUGCGUUGUUGGGUAGGGGAGCGUUCUGUAAGCCUGCGAAGGUGUGCUGUGAGGCAUGCUGGAGGUAUCAGAAGUGCGAAUGCUGACAUAAGUAACGAUAAAGCGGGUGAAAAGCCCGCUCGCCGGAAGACCAAGGGUUCCUGUCCAACGUUAAUCGGGGCAGGGUGAGUCGACCCCUAAGGCGAGGCCGAAAGGCGUAGUCGAUGGGAAACAGGUUAAUAUUCCUGUACUUGGUGUUACUGCGAAGGGGGGACGGAGAAGGCUAUGUUGGCCGGGCGACGGUUGUCCCGGUUUAAGCGUGUAGGCUGGUUUUCCAGGCAAAUCCGGAAAAUCAAGGCUGAGGCGUGAUGACGAGGCACUACGGUGCUGAAGCAACAAAUGCCCUGCUUCCAGGAAAAGCCUCUAAGCAUCAGGUAACAUCAAAUCGUACCCCAAACCGACACAGGUGGUCAGGUAGAGAAUACCAAGGCGCUUGAGAGAACUCGGGUGAAGGAACUAGGCAAAAUGGUGCCGUAACUUCGGGAGAAGGCACGCUGAUAUGUAGGUGAAGUCCCUCGCGGAUGGAGCUGAAAUCAGUCGAAGAUACCAGCUGGCUGCAACUGUUUAUUAAAAACACAGCACUGUGCAAACACGAAAGUGGACGUAUACGGUGUGACGCCUGCCCGGUGCCGGAAGGUUAAUUGAUGGGGUCAGCGCAAGCGAAGCUCUUGAUCGAAGCCCCGGUAAACGGCGGCCGUAACUAUAACGGUCCUAAGGUAGCGAAAUUCCUUGUCGGGUAAGUUCCGACCUGCACGAAUGGCGUAAUGAUGGCCAGGCUGUCUCCACCCGAGACUCAGUGAAAUUGAACUCGCUGUGAAGAUGCAGUGUACCCGCGGCAAGACGGAAAGACCCCGUGAACCUUUACUAUAGCUUGACACUGAACAUUGAGCCUUGAUGUGUAGGAUAGGUGGGAGGCUUUGAAGUGUGGACGCCAGUCUGCAUGGAGCCGACCUUGAAAUACCACCCUUUAAUGUUUGAUGUUCUAACGUUGACCCGUAAUCCGGGUUGCGGACAGUGUCUGGUGGGUAGUUUGACUGGGGCGGUCUCCUCCUAAAGAGUAACGGAGGAGCACGAAGGUUGGCUAAUCCUGGUCGGACAUCAGGAGGUUAGUGCAAUGGCAUAAGCCAGCUUGACUGCGAGCGUGACGGCGCGAGCAGGUGCGAAAGCAGGUCAUAGUGAUCCGGUGGUUCUGAAUGGAAGGGCCAUCGCUCAACGGAUAAAAGGUACUCCGGGGAUAACAGGCUGAUACCGCCCAAGAGUUCAUAUCGACGGCGGUGUUUGGCACCUCGAUGUCGGCUCAUCACAUCCUGGGGCUGAAGUAGGUCCCAAGGGUAUGGCUGUUCGCCAUUUAAAGUGGUACGCGAGCUGGGUUUAGAACGUCGUGAGACAGUUCGGUCCCUAUCUGCCGUGGGCGCUGGAGAACUGAGGGGGGCUGCUCCUAGUACGAGAGGACCGGAGUGGACGCAUCACUGGUGUUCGGGUUGUCAUGCCAAUGGCACUGCCCGGUAGCUAAAUGCGGAAGAGAUAAGUGCUGAAAGCAUCUAAGCACGAAACUUGCCCCGAGAUGAGUUCUCCCUGACUCCUUGAGAGUCCUGAAGGAACGUUGAAGACGACGACGUUGAUAGGCCGGGUGUGUAAGCGCAGCGAUGCGUUGAGCUAACCGGUACUAAUGAACCGUGAGGCUUAACCUUACAACGCCGAAGGUGUUU